UACGGAGGGGGCUAGCGUUAUUCGGAAUUAUUGGGCGUAAAGGGCGCGUAGGCGGCCCGGUAAGUCAAAGGUGAAAUCCCUCGGCUCAACUGAGGAACUGCCUUUGAAACUGUCGGGCUUGAGGCCGGGAGGGGGUAGCGGAAUUCCCAGUGUAGCGGUGAAAUGCGUAGAGAUCAGGAAGAACACCGGUGGCGAAAGCGCUCUGCUGGACCUUAACUGACACUGAGGGACGAAAGCUAGGGGAGCGAAUGGG
rnacentral:rRNA from 1 species